UGGGUGAAUUCUUCAAUGAGUUAGGAGACGAUGGCAUAAUUAUUUUCCAUUUGAAGCAGAUUGAUGGCAUAGUCAAAGGUGGGUUAAUUGUUGAAGGAAUUGAGAUUAGACCUAAAUAUGAUUAGUAAUAAUGAUUUAAUAUUGGCAUGAGAAACUAUUUAAUGUAAUUUUUCAUUGUUGAUUUGUAACUGAAUAGCUAAAAAGAGAGGUUGGAUGAUUGAUAUACUUUGUUAAACCAUAUAAUAAAAUUUGAUUAUAUGACAGAAGAAGAAAGGAUUGUAACAAUAUUGUAUAGAAAGAAAGAAGAUUUUUAAAUAGAGUAAAAUUAAAAAAGAAAAAUUUAUGAAGGAUAACAAAGUUUUAAAAUUUAAAUUAUGAACUAAUAUAAUCUAAAAUUUUGCUAUUUCAUGCCAAUUUAUCUAAAAAGAAAAAAAAGGAAUGAGAGGGAAAAGAGAGAUGACUUAAGCUAAUAUCAUAUUAAAUUUAGAUUAUAAUCAAAAUUUAGUUUAAUUUGACAAUAUUUGAAUCAAAUUACUGGAAUAAAAACAUUUAAGAAAAAUUUGUACCAUAAAUUUGAGUUGUUCUAAUUUAAAUCGCACCAAACUCCAAAAUACAAAAAAAUAUUAUAUGAAAACUAAAUCGAACCACAUAUUUGUAUAAAUUGUAUUAAAAUUGCUCCUCAUAAACAAUUCGGUUUAAAUCCUAGAGAAUCAGUUUCUAGGAUUGCUAAAAUUGCUCCACAUAUUUCUAAAAUUGCUGCACAUAUUUACCUUAUUGUUUGCAGUUGAUUUUACAAUCGAUUUAAAACAUUAAACUGAAGCAUAAGAAGUGGUUUUAACAUAACACAAACUGUAUGCAAUCUCGGUACUGUUUUGAUUCAGUUCGAUUUUCAAAUAUUUUAUGAACACCCUUAAACGACUCUAAUUGUAAGUGUGUUAAAUGUUUAUUUAAAAUAUAUUUUUAAAUGUUUAAUUUAAAAACACAAGUCAUUUUCGAGAGAAAAACAAAAAAAAUUGUGACGAUAACCUUUAAAAAUAACUUUUUAAGUGUAAUUUAAAUAACUUUAAUAAAAAUGGUUAUUUUGGAAAGCAGUUUUUAUUAAGCCAAUCAAAGUUAAACUCCUCCCUGUCUUUUACUUGAAUAACAAUUAUUUAAUCCUACCGUUUCACCGACCUCGGUGGAGAGGAUACUUUUGGUAACACAGAAAACAAAACUAAAAAGAAAAAAAGGCCAAAUCGGAGAUGGACAUCAACCAGCUACCGGCGGAGUGCAUUUCUUCCAUUUUGGCCUUCACAUCACCGAAAGAUGCCUGCAGAUCUGCCGUCGCGUCCCCGGCUUUCAGAUCCGCCGCUGAUUCCGACGCUAUUUGGACCACUUUUCUGCCGUCCGAUUACCGACAGAUUAUUUCCCAGGCUUCCUCUUCAUCUACGUCGUCGUUUCUGAAUUCACUGUCCAAAAAGGCUCUCUACUUCCGUCUCUCCGAUCAUUUGCUUUUCAUUGGCUCUGGAAAUUCGGUAAAUUCAUAAUGCCUCAUUUAUCCAAACCUUAAUUUUGAUUACUUAAAAUUCAAUUCAAUUUCCUUUCGUCUUAAACUAAAUAUCUGUUUUUGAUUACUCUACCAACUUUUAAUUCCUAUCUUAUAGUACUCUAACUCAUUCAAAAUCUCGCGUUAGAACGAACUUUCAAAUUACACACGGUGGAUAUGAGCAAUAUAAUUAUGGAUUACAAUAUACUUUUGUUGUUGUUAUUACUGACUUACUAAUAAAAUAGAGUUAUUGAGAGUGGGAUUAAUGAUUUGAAACAGAGUUUUGUGUUGGAGAAAGAGAGUGGGAAGAAAUGUUAUAUGAUAGGAGCAAGAGAUCUGGAGAUUGUUUGGGGGAGUUCACCCGCAUAUUGGACUUGGCAAUCCAUUCCUACAUCAAGGUCCCUCUUUCUUUGCCCCCUCUCUCUAUAAACAUAUAUACUCUCAUUUGUUAAUUUCAUCAUUGUUUUUGUUUCUAAAUUAUGUGCUUCAUUUUUUCCCCACAAUUUUCUUAUUGUAGGUUUUAAGUACUUUUUAUUUAUUUAUUUUAGGAGUAAACAUUUGACAGAAGAAAAAAAACAUUAAUUUAUUCAUUUACGUUUUCAGACCAAAUUAAUUUACGCCCUUGGAAUGAGUUUAAUUUCAUUACUUAAAUUUGGAUCUUUUUAAAAAAUAAUCUAAAAUUUAAAACAUAAGUAAAAAAAUAGGUUCGUUCGAGAACUAGUUUUAAAAAUGAGUGAGUUGAGGUGAAGUUGUGUAGCACGUACCCGAUUUCCAUGAAGUGGACCCCACAUCUUCUAUUUUUUUCUUAUUUUUAUAUAUAUACUACAUUGUACCUCACAUUUUUAUUCUCUCAUUAUUUAUAUAUGUGGGUCUCACACAUUUUAUUUUUUCUCAUUAUUUAUAUAUAUAUAUAUAUACUCACAUAUAAUAAUAUAUAUAUUAAACGUUCAAAUUCUAAAAAUAUUUUUUUAUUAAAUUAAUUUAUUAUUUUAUUUUAUUCUUUAUUUAUAUUUAAAUAUCUCAAUCUUUAAUUUUUCUUAUUAAAUUCAAUUUUUCUAAUUUAAUUUAAUUAUUACUUAAUCGAAAUUAUACAUUUUUUUUCAUUUUUCAAUAUUUAAAAAAAAUCAAAAUAUUAACAAAAUAUGUUAUUAAAAAUUAUAUUAAACAAAUAAAAAUGGUAAUAAUUUGAGUAAUUUCAGCUUCUUUCAAUUAUUACUGUUACUACUUUUACUUGUUUAAUAUAUUUUUAAUAACAUAUUUUGUUAAUAUAUGAGUUUUUUUUUUGUGAUAUUUAAAUAUAAAAAAUAAAAAAAUAAAAAUUUAAUUUAAUAAAGAAAUAUAUUGUUAGAAUUUGAAUGUUUAAUAUAUAUAUUAUUAUAUGUGGGUAUAUAUAUAAAUAACGAGAAAAAGUAAAAUGUGUGGGAUCCACGUAUAUAAAUAAUGAGAAAAUAAAAAAAUGUGGGAUGAGUGUAGUAUAUACGUAAAAAUAAGAAAAAAAUAGAAAAGGUGUCAUGGAAGCCGUGUACCCCAUACACGAUUUCACCUCAACUCACCUAUUUUUAAAAAUAGUUUUGAAACUAACCUAUUUUUGACAUAUGUUUCAAAUUUUAAAUUAAUUUAAAAAAAGAUCCUUUAAAUUUAGGUUGUAAUUUUAAUAAAUUGAACACCAAACCAACAAUUUAGUCUAUGGGUUUAACUUUUUACCCCUUCUUAAGAAAAUAUUUAAUUAAAAAAUUCUGCACACAGGUUUUAGAAUUGGUUAACUAUUAGUGGUAAUGUUUGUUUAUGAAUCACUCGUAUUUAAGGCGGCACAAUUUUGACAAUUUGAUAUACAAAGAAAAAUUGUUAAAAAUUGUUACAAAUUUGAUAAUACAUAGGUAUAGUAAAUAAUUAUACGUCGACUAAAUUGUUAUAAAUAGAAAAAAAAUUAAUAUUAUUGUUAUAGUUUUGAUAAACAAAUUUAACUUAUAAUGAAAUGUAAUAACAAAUAAAAGAAAAACACACGAACACAUUUGAUAAUGAUAUUGAAAUUGUGGAAGUCUAAAGCUUAUAAACCACAGGUUUCCUGAAGUGGCCGAGUUGCGAGUCGUGUGGUGGCUUGAAAUCAAAGGAAAAAUAGAGGGUAGAAAUUUAAGUCCUAAAACCAAAUAUGCAGCUUACUUUGUGUUCAAGUUUAAGGAAGGCGAUUUCCAGCACGAUGGGUUUGGAACAAAACCUGUUUCAUUAGAAGUUUAUUUUGAAGGGGAGGAGGUUGGAGAAGAUGGAACGAAAAUGGUACUUUUGGACCCUCCCGAAGGAUCUCCUGUAGUUUGUAAAGAAAGAAGUGAUGGAUGGAUGGAGGUUGAAAUGGGUGAAUUCUUCAAUGAGUUAGGAGACGAUGGCAUGGUUAUUUUCCAUUUGAAGCAGAUUGAUGGCAUAAUUAAAGGUGGGUUAAUUGUUGAAGGAAUUGAGAUUAGACCUAAAUAUGAUUAGUAAUAAUAAUUUAAUAUUGGCAUGAGAAACUACUUAAUGUAAUUUUCAUUAUUCUUCUUGCAACUGAAUUACUAAAAAGAGAUUG
rnacentral:lncRNA from 1 species